rnacentral:rRNA from 1 species
GUGGGGAAUAUUGGACAAUGGGGGGAACCCUGAUCCAGCCAUGCCGCGUGUGUGAAGAAGGCCUUCGGGUUGUAAAGCACUUUUGGCAGGAAAGAAAUAGUGCGUGCUAAUACCAUGCGCGAAUGACGGUACCUGCAGAAUAAGCACCGGCUAACUACGUGCCAGCAGCCGCGGUAAGACGUAGGGUGCAAGCGUUAAUCGGAAUUACUUGGCGUAAAGCGUGCGCAGGCGGUUUUGUAAGACAGGUGUGAAAUCCCCGGGCUCAACCUGGGAACUGCACUUGUGACUGCAAGGCUAGAGUGUGUCAGAGGGAGGUGGAAUUCCGCGUGUAGAGGUGAAAUGCGUAGAGAUGCGGAGGAACACCGAUAGCGAAGGCAGCCUCCUGGGAUAACACUGACGCUCAGGCACGAAAGCGUGGGGAGCAAACAGGAUUAGAAACCCUUGUAGUCC